rnacentral:rRNA from 1 species
GAUGUUAGCGGCGGACGGGUGAGUAACACGUGGGUAACCUGCCUGUAAGACUGGGAUAACUCCGGGAAACCGGGGCUAAUACCGGAUGGUUGUCUGAACCGCAUGGUUCAAACAUAAAAGGUGGCUUCGGCUACCACUUACAGAUGGACCCGCGGCGCAUUAGCUAGUUGGUGAGGUAACGGCUCACCAAGGCGACGAUGCGUAGCCGACCUGAGAGGGUGAUCGGCCACACUGGGACUGAGACACGGCCCAGACUCCUACGGGAGGCAGCAGUAGGGAAUCUUCCGCAAUGGACGAAAGUCUGACGGAGCAACGCCGCGUGAGUGAUGAAGGUUUUCGGAUCGUAAAGCUCUGUUGUUAGGGAAGAACAAGUGCCGUUCAAAUAGGGCGGCACCUUGACGGUACCUAACCAGAAAGCCACGGCUAACUACGUGCCAGCAGCCGCGGUAAUACGUAGGUGGCAAGCGUUGUCCGGAAUUAUUGGGCGUAAAGGGCUCGCAGGCGGUUUCUUAAGUCUGAUGUGA